CAGCUCCGUAACAGCUGUCUAACUCCCAGGUACCUAUUUACUGUUAGAGAAAGAAAUUUUGCCCAUAUGUUUCUACCUGGUCCGGGAAUCGAACCCGGUCCACAGGAUUACGAGUGCUGCGCGCUGCCCAAUCAGCUACAAGACACCUGUGUGUGCGUGUGUGUGUGUGUGUAUAAUAAGAAAUACUAGUUUUUAAUGUCAAUUCCAAAAUCCUGCGGGAUAUCCUUUUCUAUUUCAACAGUGUCAUGAGAAAGAUAUUAGCACAAUGGUCCGGCAGGAGGAGGCGAGCGAGCCUUGAUUACCGGAGAGAGCGAGGACCAGACAAUAUUUACAUAGGAAUCUUCUCCUGGACGGCCGUUACCUCGAAUCCAUUAGCAUCGCAUCGUCUCGUAGUUUUCUCAAGACGGUCACGUCGUCGGUGUGGGUGGUAAGUAUUUUUCCACGCCUCCUCAUCACCAACCCCCAAGACAACGUUACACAAGGGUGCCGUUGGCUGGCAGCCUCACAUCAGCCAGAUUGCUGACUGUUUUAAGAAGAUUCUUGAGUGGGAGGAUGCCAGAAGACUUGGGGUGGAUCACCUACUCACGGAGAGUUUCAUGUUCAGGACCCUAAAGACGCAAUUGGUGUUAAGCAUACAAGUUUGUCCCCUUCCCCCACUCGGUUCUUUUUCGUGCAAUUCAAUAUUGCUGAUGAAGAAUGCAAAAAUACGUUGCCAGUGAAUAGGAAAACGUCAUUUCAACAUCUGCUCCUGGCGGCCUCUCACGGCAGACUGGUCAUACCUCCGUUAUGGAUGUUUCAUUUUAGUGCUGUUUGUGCGUGUGUGUUUGUAUUGUCAUUGUGCUUCAUCUAUACAUUGGUAUGUUUUGGAAAAUUUUAUGAAUGUUUAAUAAUGAUAACAGAAAGACAGUUUGGAUUCAUGGAGUACAUAAGCACAACAGAGACCCGUAAACAUUUUUGUUAAUAACGAUCUUAGUUCCGGCAAUCAAUAUUCACUAAUUCUUGAUAAAGAUGCAAAUUCGUGCAUGACAGAUGCUGAUACAACUGAAAAACAGAACUCUUGCGUGAUUAUACACUCUCCUUGAUACAAAUGAAGAAAAUUCUAAAUAUAAAACGACUGAUGGUAAGUUUGCAUGAAAAAAUGUCCAAAUUUGCUUUAGCUGGUAUUUAAUACUGCUCUUAACACAGCCAAUAGAAGGGAAGGGAACUAUCAGGAGAAAGCACCAAGCCAUUAAGACUAUAUAGCACUGGGAAGGGGUCAGGAUAAGGGUUUGGGAUGGGACGGGGGAAAAGGAAUGGUGCCCAACUACUUUGACAGUCGGGGAUUGAACGCCGACCUGCAUGAAGCGACACCGUCGCUCUACCGUCUAUCCCAAGUUGCUUCUACUCUUAAUAUAUUCAGUAAGGAUAAUUACUAUUAUAAUCAAGUCAGCUGGGACAGUUGCUGUGGUUCUUAUUGUAUUGGAGCUAUUUUCUGCAUUAAUGAUCCUCACAGAAAGAUAAACGAAAAUCUCGGUAACUUGCACGACUCAAGCCAUCGUUAUAUAAUACAAGUCCAGACUUAUUAUCCCUCGUAUUGCCCAGAGUGUCCACUGUUGACAACAGGAAUAUCGAACAUUGCCGUGUUCAGUGUUGGUUGAGGGUGAGGUGUGUGGUGGAGGGCUGUAUGGUCUGAGAGAACCACAGCCUGAACUCUGUAGUCUACCUGAAGAAGCGUGCAGUAGUUGCAUUCCUUAUGAAGAUGUAUUAUUAAAAUACGAAGGUACUUAAGGAAAUUCCUGUUUCAAUUUUAUAUAUAUUAUCUACCUAUCUAUCUAUCUAUCUAUCUAUCUAUCUA